UACAGAGGUCUCAAGCGUUGUUCGGAUUCAUUGGGCGUAAAGGGCGCGUAGGCGGCGGGAUAAGUCCGGUGUGAAAGUCACAGGCUCAACCUGUGAAUGCCGCUGGAAACUGUCUGGCUAGAGUCCGGGAGGGGCGAGUGGAAUUCCUGGUGUAGCGGUGAAAUGCGCAGAUAUCAGGAGGAACACCAAUUGCGAAGGCAGCUCGCUGGGACGUAACUGACGCU
rnacentral:rRNA from 1 species